AGCGAACGCUGGCGGCAGGCUUAACACAUGCAAGUCGAGCGGGCAUCCUUGUGGUGUCCGCGGCAGACGGGUGAGUAACGCGUGGGAACGUGCCCUUCGGUUCGGAAUAACUCAGGGAAACUUGAGCUAAUACCGGAUACGUGCGAGAGCAGAAAGGUUUAUCUGCCGAAGGAUCGGCCCGCGUCUGAUUAGCUAGUUGGUGAGGUUAUGGCUCACCAAGGCGACGAUCAGUAGCUGGUCUGAGAGGAUGAUCAGCCACACUGGGACCGAGACACGGCCCAGACUCCUACGGGAGGCAGCAGUGGGGAAUAUUGGACAAUGGGGGCAACCCUGAUCCAGCCAUGCCGCGUGAGUGAUGACGGCCUUAGGGUUGUAAAGCUCUUUUCUCCGGGACGAUAAUGACGGUACCGGAGGAAUAAGCCCCGGCUAACUUCGUG
rnacentral:rRNA from 1 species